rnacentral:rRNA from 1 species
UACAGAGGUCUCAAGCGUUGUUCGGAUUUAUUGGGCGUAAAGCGCUCGCAGGUGGUUCGAUGCGUCGUGCGUGAAAGACCCCGGCUCAACUGGGGAGGGUCGUGCGAUACGGUCGAACUGGAGGCCAGUAGGGGGAUGCGGAAUUCCGGGUGUAGUGGUGGAAUGCGUAGAGAUCCGGAGGAACACCAGCGGCGAAGGCGGCAUCCUGGACUGGUCCUGACACUCAGGAGCGAAAGCGUGGGGAGCGAUCCGG